CUCUGGUGAUUUUUCUUCUUCACUCUUCAGCCUUGACAGUUAAUUAUUCAGCUAAUGAAUGAAUAUUAUUGGUCUUCCGUCAUUUCUGCGACUCUACAUGAUUACUAUGAAAAUGAAUGAGGUUUUGGGAUAUUCUGUUCCAAUUCAAGCAAGAGGAGGAAGCUGUCUGCUCUCAGCUGGACUUGACUCCAUUAAGCUUUUCCAUUCAGCACAUACUUACCAAGCGUGGACCAUGUAAGAGACCAGAGCAACCUAAAAAUGAAUUAAAC